UUCGGAUUUUAUGACAAAUCUAAAAAAACUGAUUCGAUUACUCGUUAAAAAAUAUCCGAUUGAUCAAAAUUUAUCUCGAACUUCUAAGGAAACGCGGAUUACUAACACAACUCCAUUUAGUGAGCUUUAUUUAUUUGAGCUACUCAGUAGUCUUGCUUUGGGGUUUGAAAUUAACGGCAAUGAGACUCCAGGAGUCGAAAAUCUCUGGGACUUUGAAUCUUGUAUUCGAUUAUGUAAUUUCUGUGACGUAACUGUCUCAAUAAACAAAUACAUCAAAGAUUAUGAGAAUCAGCGAG